GUUUUCUCUGUGAGCCUAGAUCUUCAGAGAUGGGAGCUCCACAGUAAGCUAUAUGUUUGGUGCAAAUAGAAAGAAUGGAGCCUUCUGAACCCUUAAAGGAAGCUGGCAGAGAGAUCGAGAAGUGCAGAUGUGGUUGCAUUCAAACUUCCCUGUAAACAAGUGAUCUUGGAGAGGGCUCAUCUGCUGAAAAAAAUGGUGCAGUCAUGUCCCACUGUGACGGAGAGCAGAGGUGCCAGCUCAGAGGAAGGUGGCAAAAAGAUGAGGGUGAGAGGGCUGUGGAGAGAGGGAAUGAUGGCUCUACUUCUCUGCUGGCGAAGAAUGCUGCAGAGGAUGUGGGAGCAGCCCUCAAACACCACAAAUACUGCAGCUGCUCCAGGGUGCAGAGCUUGGAGCUAAAUGUUUGCAGGGAUCUGAGCCAGAACUCAGGUACUGAACCACGAAUGCUGUGCUGUCCUGAUUACCCACUUCUGACUCAUCUCACUGUCUGCAAGAGUCAGACAUAUCCAUGCAGGCUGCAAUCACUGCUGGUGAUUAUGGCUAUCCCCAUAGAUGCCUUAGGAGCCUACACUACAUCUGAACCUACCCCAGCAUUUCUGUGGGCCACUGUGGGUACUGGAGAAAAAUCUCAUCUGUCAUACACAGUCUAGUGUUACCUGCAACAAACCCCUUCACUCCUCCCUUUUUGCAGCAGUUUGUUCUGCAGGGCGUUUCAGGGAGUCAGUUUCAUUGCUCCCUCCCAUAGCACUUGCAGCCACACGUGCAGCCCCUGUGGGCUGGGAGCUAAAAAAGUUCACCCGUGUGAUGCAGGCGGUCAUGAGCCAGACAGGGUUUAAUUUACUGAUGUAGAUACAGCCUAAACAGCUACAGCUUUUCUGGUCGCUUCUGCACCACUUGUGCUGCUUCUGUAGCAUUCAUGCAAGUUUUCCAAGUGUGAAGUGUGCAUUAAAUAAACGAACUAGGGUGCAAAAGAAUGACAUCUGCUCUGAGACUGUUAGAGAGGCUCUUUUACAAGCAAAUGAACCACCAAUUUGUAGUAAGACAUUGUUUUCUAAACACAGAAUAAAAACUGUUAUCUUGCUUGGCUGGUCAUUAGAAGAGAGAUAAUUAUAGUCUCAGUGUGACAAUCGGCUCCAAACAGUGGUUGCAUUGUUCCAGUCCCCAGCUGAAUCCCAGCACAGGCACCCAAGGCCAGCAGCACUGGGAACAACAGGGCUCCUUGUGCAUGAGCGAGUUCAAAAAAGUGACUGAAGUGCUUAAGA